UAGGGAAUAUUGCGCAAUGGGCGAAAGCCUGACGCAGCGACGCCGCGUGGGUGAUGAAGGCCUUCGGGUCGUAAAGCCCUGUCGAGGGGGACGAACCGGUUCCGGCUAAAUAGGUCGGGAUCCUGACGGUACCCCUAAAGGAAGCACCGGCUAACUCCGUGCCAGCAGCCGCGGUAAUACGGAGGGUGCGAGCGUUGUUCGGAAUCACUGGGCGUAAAGCGCGUGUAGGCGGUCCGCUAAGUCUGGUGUGAAAGCCCGGGGCUCACCCCCGGAAGGGCACUGGAAACUGGCGAACUAGAGUCCCGGAGAGGAGGGUGGAAUUCCUGGUGUAGCGGUGAAAUGCGUAGAUAUCAGGAGGAACACCGGUGGCGAAGGCGGCCCUCUGGACGGUGACUGACGCUGAGACGCGAAAGCGUGGGGAGCAAACAGGAUUAGAUACCCCCGUAGUCC
rnacentral:rRNA from 1 species